UAAUACGUAGGGUGCGAGCGUUAAUCGGAAUUACUGGGCGUAAAGCGUGCGCAGGUGGUUUUGUAAGUCAGAUGUGAAAUCCCCGGGCUUAACCUGGGAACUGCGUUUGAAACUGCAAGGCUAGAGUGUGGCAGAGGGGGGUGGAAUUCCGCGUGUAGCAGUGAAAUGCGUAGAGAUGUGGAGGAACACCGAUGGCGAAGGCAGCCCCCUGGGUCAACACUGACGCUCAGGCACGAAAGCAUGGGGAGCAAACAGGAUUAGAUACCCUGGUAGUCCAUGCCCUAAACGAUGUCAACUAGUUGUCGGGUCUUAACGGGCUUGGUAACGUAGCUAACGCGUGAAGUUGACCGCCUGGGGAGUACGAUCGCAAGAUUA
rnacentral:rRNA from 1 species